UUGCUAUCUGCGAUAUGGAAGAUUUGAACCUGCCGCAGGUUCGGGUCUCACGUAGUGAGACAACGGAGCCGCUUGCGGCGACGGCCCGAAGGGCGAGCGAAGCGAGUCAUCCUGCACGACCCACCA
rnacentral:sRNA from 4 species